GACGAACGCUGGCGGCGUGCCUAAUACAUGCAAGUCGAGCGAAUGACGAGAAGCUUGCUUCUCUGAUUUAGCGGCGGACGGGUGAGUAACACGUGGGCAACCUGCCCUACAGAUCGGGAUAACUCAGGGAAACCUGGGCUAAUACCGGAUAAUCCUUCGAAUCACAUGUGUUGAAGUUGAAAGGCGCUUCGGCGUCACUGUAGGAUGGGCCCGCGGUGCAUUAGCUAGUUGGUGGGGUAACGGCCUACCAAGGCAACGAUGCAUAGCCGACCUGAGAGGGUGAUCGGCCACAUUGGGACUGAGACACGGCCCAAACUCCUACGGGAGGCAGCAGUAGGGAAUCUUCCACUAUGGACGAAAGUCUGAUGGAGCAACGCCGCGUGAGUGAUGAAGGUUUUCGGAUCGUAAAACUCUGUUGUAAGGGAAGAACAAGUACGUUAGGAAAUGAACGUACCUUGACGGUACCUUAUUAGAAAGCCACGGCUAACUACGUGCCAGCCGCCGCCGUAA
rnacentral:rRNA from 1 species